rnacentral:rRNA from 1 species
UGGGGAAUAUUGCACAAUGGGGGGAACCCUGAUGCAGCCAUGCCGCGUGAAUGAAGGAGGCCUUCGGGUUGUAAAGUUCUUUCGGUGACGAGGAAGGUUGGUAGGUUAAUAGCCUAUCAAAUUGACGUUAAUCACAGAAGAAGCACCGGCUAACUCCGUGCCAGCAGCCGCGGUAAUACGGGGGGUGCGAGCGUUAAUCGGAAUAACUGGGCGUAAAGGGCACGCAGGCGGUGACUUAAGUGAGAUGUGAAAGCCCCGAGCUUAACUUGGGAAUUGCAUUUCAUACUGGGUCGCUAGAGUACUUUAGGGAGGGGUAGAAUUCCACGUGUAGCGGUGAAAUGCGUAGAGAUCUGGAGGAAUACCGGUGGCGAAGGCGGCCCCCUGGACAAAGACUGACGCUCAGGUGCGAAAGCGUGGGGAGCAAACAGGAUUAGAUACCCUGGUAGUCCACGCCGUAAACGAUGUCGAUUUGGAGGUUGUGCCCUUGAGGCGUGGCUUCCGGAGCUAACGCGUUAAAUCGACCGCCUGGGGAGUACGGCCGCAAGGUUA